rnacentral:rRNA from 1 species
GAUGAACGCUGGCGGCGUGCUUAACACAUGCAAGUCGAACGAUGAAAGCGGGAGCUUGCUCCUGCUGGAUUAGUGGCGAACGGGUGAGUAACACGUGAGUAACCUGCCCUUGACUCUGGGAUAAGCGUUGGAAACGACGUCUAAUACCGGAUACGACCUUCGGAGGCAUCUCCUGGGGGUGGAAAGAAUUCGGUCAAGGAUGGACUCGCGGCCUAUCAGCUAGUUGGUGAGGUAAUGGCUCACCAAGGCGACGACGGGUAGCCGGCCUGAGAGGGUGACCGGCCACACUGGGACUGAGACACGGCCCAGACUCCUACGGGAGGCAGCAGUGGGGAAUAUUGCACAAUGGGCGCAAGCCUGAUGCAGCAACGCCGCGUGAGGGACGACGGCCUUCGGUUGGUAAACCUCGUUUAGUAGGGAAGAAGCGAAAGUGACGGUACC